CGAACGCUGGCGGCGUGCUUAACACAUGCAAGUCGAACGGUGAAGCGCCUUCCUUUUUGGUGGGUGUGGAUGAGUGGCGAACGGGUGAGUAACACGUGAGUAACCUGCCCCCUUCUUCUGGAUAACCGCAUGAAAGUGUGGCUAAUACGGGAUAUUCUGGGUCUGUCGCAUGAUGGGUCUGGGAAAGAUAUUGUUUCGGUGGGGGAUGGGCUCGCGGCCUAUCAGCUUGUUGGUGGGGUGAUGGCCUACCAAGGCGGUGACGGGUAGCCGGCCUGAGAGGGUGGACGGUCACACUGGGACUGAGACACGGCCCAGACUCCUACGGGAGGCAGCAGUGGGGAAUAGUGCACAAUGGGCGCAAGCCUGAUGCAGCGACGCCGCGUGAGGGAUGGAGGCCUUCGGGUUGUGAACCUCUUUCGCCAGUGAAGCAGGCCUGCCUCGUUUGUGGGUGGGUUGACGGUAGCUGGAGAAGAAGCGCCGGCUAACUACGUG
rnacentral:rRNA from 1 species